GAGGGUAGAGCUCAGUGGUAGAGCAUGUGCUUAGCCUGCAUGAGGUCCUAGGUUCAAUCCCCAGUACCUCUA
rnacentral:tRNA from 1 species